CAGUCGCCGCGGUAAUACGUAGGGUGCGAGCGUUAAUCGGAAUUACUGGGCGUAAAGCGUGCGCAGGCGGUUCGUUAAGACAGAUGUGAAAUCCCCGGGCUUAACCUGGGAACUGCAUUUGUGACUGACGGGCUAGAGUAUGGCAGAGGGGGGUAGAAUUCCACGUGUAGCAGUGAAAUGCGUAGAGAUGUGGAGGAAUACCGAUGGCGAAGGCAGCCCCCUGGGCCAAUACUGACGCUCAUGCACGAAAGCGUGGGGAGCAAACAGGAUUAGAUACCCCCGUAGUCCCUGUCUCUUAUCC
rnacentral:rRNA from 1 species